rnacentral:rRNA from 1 species
UGGAUCCAGACUUUGAUUCUGGCUCAGGACGAACGCUGGCGGCGUGCUCAACACAUGCAAGUCGAACGGGGCACCCCUGAAGGAGUUUUCGGACAACGGAAGGGAAUGCUUAGUGGCGGACUGGUGAGUAACGCGUGAGGAACCUGCCUUCCAGAGGGGGACAACAGUUAGAAAUGACUGCUAAUACCGCAUGAUACAUUUGAAUCGCAUGGUUUGAAUGUCAAAGAUUUAUCGCUGGAAGAUGGCCUCGCGUCUGAUUAGCUAGUUGGUGAGGUAACGGCCCACCAAGGCGACGAUCAGUAGCCGGACUGAGAGGUUGGCCGGCCACAUUGGGACUGAGAUACGGCCCAGACUCCUACGGGAGGCAGCAGUGGGGAAUAUUGGGCAAUGGACGCAAGUCUGACCCAGCAACGCCGCGUGAAGGAAGAAGGCUUUCGGGUUGUAAACUUCUUUUAAGGGGGAAGAGCAAAAGACGGUACCCCUUGAAUAAGCCACGGCUAACUACGUGCCAGCAGCCGCGGUAAUACGUAGGUGGCAAGCGUUGUCCGGAUUUACUGGGUGUAAAGGGCGUGCAGCCGGAGAGGCAAGUCAGAUGUGAAAUCCGCGGGCUCAACCCGCGAACUGCAUUUGAAACUGCUUCCCUUGAGUAUCGGAGAGGUAACCGGAAUUCCUAGUGUAGCGGUGAAAUGCGUAGAUAUUAGGAAGAACACCAGUGGCGAAGGCGGGUUACUGGACGACAACUGACGGUGAGGCGCGAAAGCGUGGGGAGCAAACAGGAUUAGAUACCCUGGUAGUCCACGCUGUAAACGAUCGAUACUAGGUGUGCGGGGACUGACCCCCUGCGUGCCGGAGUUAACACAAUAAGUAUCGCACCUGGGGAGUACGAUCGCAAGGUUGCAACUCAAAUGAAUUGACGGA